UGGGGAAUUUUGGACAAUGGGCGAAAGCCUGAUCCAGCAAUGCCGCGUGUGUGAAGAAGGCCUUCGGGUUGUAAAGCACUUUUGUCCGGAAAGAAAUCCUUGGCUCUAAUACAGUCGGGGGAUGACGGUACCGGAAGAAUAAGCACCGGCUAACUACGUGCCAGCAGCCGCGGUAAUACGUAGGGUGCAAGCGUUAAUCGGAAUUACUGGGCGUAAGCGUGCGCAGGCGGUUUUGCUAAGACCGAUGUGAAAUCCCCGGGCUCAACCUGGGAACUGCAUUGGUGACUGGCAGGCUAGAGUAUGGCAGAGGGGGGUAGAAUUCCACGUGUAGCAGUGAAAUGCGUAGAGAUGUGGAGGAAUACCGAUGGCGAAGGCAGCCCCCUGGGCCAAUACUGACGCUCAUGCACGAAAGCGUGGGGAGCAAAGCAGGAUUAGAUACCCUGGUAGUCCACGCCCUAAACGAUGUCAACUAGUUGUUGGGGAUUCAUUUCCUAGUAACGUAGCUAACGCGUGAAGUUGACCGCCUGGGGAGUACGGUCGCAAGAUUAAAA
rnacentral:rRNA from 1 species